GACGAACGCUGGCGGCGUGCCUAAUACAUGCAAGUCGAGCGAAUCAAUGGGAGCUUGCUCCCUGAGAUUAGCGGCGGACGGGUGAGUAACACGUGGGUAACCUGCCUGUAAGACUGGGAUAACUUCGGGAAACCGGAGCUAAUACCGGAUAAUUUCUUUUCUCGCAUGAGGAGAGAUGGAAAGAUGGUUCUGCUAUCACUUACAGCUGGACCCGCGGCGCAUUAGCUAGUUGGUGAGGUAACGGCUCACCAAGGCGACGAUGCGUAGCCGACCGGAGAGGGUGAUCGGCCACACUGGGACUGAGACACGGCCCAGACUCCUACGGGAGGCAGCAGUAGGGAAUCUUCCGCAAUGGACGAAAGUCUGACGGAGCAACGCCGCGUGAGCGAAGAAGGCCUUCGGGUCGUAAAGCUCUGUUGUUAGGGAAGAACAAGUACGAGAGUAACUGCUCGUACCUUGACGGUACCUAACCAGAAAGCCACGGCUAACUACGUGCCAGCCGCCGCGGUAAGAC
rnacentral:rRNA from 1 species